rnacentral:misc_RNA from 1 species
GGCCGGCGCAGAUCACUGCAG